rnacentral:rRNA from 1 species
ACGAACGCUGGCGGCGUGCUUCACCCCUGCCAGUCGCACGGAAAGGCCCUGCUUUUGUGGGGUGCUCGAGUGGCGAACGGGUGAGUAACACGUGAGUAACCUGCCCUUGACUUUGGGAUAACUUCAGGAAACUGGGGCUAAUACCGGAUAGGAGCUCCUGCUGCAUGGUGGGGGUUGGAAAGUUUCGGCGGUUGGGGAUGGACUCGCGGCUUAUCAGCUUGUUGGUGGGGUAGUGGCUUACCAAGGCUUUGACGGGUAGCCGGCCUGAGAGGGUGACCGGCCACAUUGGGACUGAGAUACGGCCCAGACUCCUACGGGAGGCAGCAGUGGGGAAUAUUGCACAAUGGGCGGAAGCCUGAUGCAGCAACGCCGCGUGCGGGAUGACGGCCUUCGGGCUGUAAACCGCUUUCGCCUGUGACGAAGCGUGAGUGACGGUAAUGGGUAAAGAAGCACCGGCUAACUACGUG